rnacentral:piRNA from 1 species
UAAUCUAACCAAAUGAGGUGUCACUACAUA